rnacentral:rRNA from 1 species
UACAGAGGUCCCAAGCGUUGUUCGGAUUCAUUGGGCGUAAAGGGCGUGUAGGCGGCGCCGUAAGUCGGGUGUGAAAUUUCGGAGCUUAACUCCGAAACUGCAUUCGAUACUGCGGUGCUUGAGGACUGGAGAGGAGACUGGAAUUCAUGGUGUAGCAGUGAAAUGCGUAGAGAUCAUGAGGAAGACCAGUGGCGAAGGCGGGUCUCUGGACAGUUCCUGACACUGAGACACGAAGGCCAGGGGAGCAAACGGG